UAUGUGGAAGAGAAGAGUCUCCAUUUAUAGUCAAUUCGAACAACUUUGUCUUCGUUUGUGGAAGAGAAAAGUCUUAAUAAUUUUUCGGUCUCGAGAUCAUUACUUGGUAAUUUCCACAAUGCUAGCAAGAUUAUUCAGUUUCUGCAACUCUUCACUUUGUCCAAAUUCCGCCUCUCUCUCUCUCUCUCUCUCUCUCUCUCUCUCUCUCUCUCUCUCUCUCUCUCUCUCUCUCUCUCUCUCUCAAGAGAAGAGUCUCCAUUUAUAGUCAAUUCAAACAACUUUGUCUUCGUUUGUGGAAGAGAAAAGUCAUAAUUUUUCGGUCUCGAGAUCAUCACUUGGUAAUUUCCACAAUGCUAGCAAGAUUAUUCAGUUUCUGCAACUCUUCACUUUGUCCAAAUUCCACCUCUCUCUCUCUCUCUCUCUGUGUGUUAUGUAGAAGGCGUGUAAAAGGGCAUGCAAGCAACCAUCCAGGGUAUCGCAGCUAUAAAGC
rnacentral:lncRNA from 1 species